rnacentral:lncRNA from 1 species
GAGGGAGAGUUAGGGAUUGGGGUGGGGAAGGGAGAAAGGACGAUUGGGGGGGGGGUGAUUUUCCUUUUCUUUUCUUUUUUAUUUUUAUUUUUUUUCCACAUGUAUUUUUUAUUUCAAUUUUUUUCAUAUUUCUUUGCCACAUGUCACAAAUGAGCCAAGUGGAGAAUUCCGGCUGCUACAGUGUGAAUUCCGGUUGCCACAGUGACAUUUUCCGGCGCCGGUGUAAGAAAAAACCGGUGAUCGGAUAAAUUUCAGACAAAAACUAAAGGUUAGGUAUUUAAAAGAAGAAAAAUAAAAAAGGUACAAAAACCAAUUCCGAGUAAACGUUAGGAAUUUACGGGCAAUUACCCCUUAUUUAUUUUGAAGUUUUUUCUUACAUUUAUU